rnacentral:tRNA from 1 species
UAACUCAGUUGGUAGAGUGCUUGCCUUGCAUGCAUAAGGCCCUGGGUUCUAAUCCCUG